rnacentral:rRNA from 1 species
GACGAACGCUGGCGGCGUGCUUAACACAUGCAAGUCGAACGGUGAAGGGGAGCUUGCUCCCCGGAUCAGUGGCGAACGGGUGAGUAACACGUGGGCAACCUGCCCCAGACUCCGGAAUAACGCUUCGAAAGAGGUGCUAAUACCGGAUACGAACUCCCAGGGCAUCUUGGGGGUUGGAAAGUUUUUCGGUCUGGGAUGGGCCCGCGGCCUAUCAGCUUGUUGGUGAGGUAACGGCUCACCAAGGCGACGACGGGUAGCCGGCCUGAGAGGGCGACCAGCCACACUGGAACUGAGACACGGUCCAGACUCCUACGGGAGGCAGCAGUGGGGAAUAUUGCACAAUGGGCGCAAGCCUGAUGCAGCCAUGCCGCGUGUAUGAAGAAGGCCUUCGGGUUGUAAAGUACUUUCAGCGGGGAGGAAGGGAGUAAAGUUAAUACCUUUGCUCAUUGACGUUACCCGCAGAAGAAGCACCGGCUAACUCCGUGCCAGCAGCCGCAGUAA